AGCCAGCGUACCUGCAUUAUAAAACACUGUUGGAUUAGAAAAUAGUGACUUAUCAAAAAGAAGUCGUCAACACCAUGGUAACGAACCUCUGUGGAAAGCCUGCUGCUCAAAAUGCUGGAUUCUGUGAGUGAGGAAAAGUGAGGAUUACAUUAAUACAAACAAUACGAAUGGAAUUGAUUCUGAAAGGCUAUCUCAUUCAAGGACAAAGAUGCAGCUCUUGAAGAAGGCUGACAUAUGGGAAGUGUGAACGUGAGAUCACAAGCUGCCAACAACCUUUAAUCAUCAUUAUUCACAGUUUAGCCUUCUAGGAGCUUGGUUGGGUUGUGAUUGGCUUGCUCAAGUACAAGAAAAUUUAACUUCUAUGUUCUCAAUUUAGGAACAAAGGCAGUAUUCACUUGGUACCAGUGAAGAGCAGACAGAAGAAGAAAGGGGGAAAUGCUUUGCUAUCAGGAGGAUAGUAGAAAGAACAUGAGCUGGCAGCUGGCUAGAAAGUAUGAAGAGAAUUGAUCCUCCAACUUUUGUAGAAAAGAUGACUUGGAUGAGAUGUUGAAGAAGGAGCAGGGGUCACACAUCCAGAGAACCCUGUGCCAUUAGCAUAAGUAUGUGAAGUGAACUAGACACAUUUCAAUGGAUGCUCAAUUGCUUUUGUUCCUGGGAUCAAACAUGUUGGGAAAUACUCAUCUGGAACUUGCUGCCAUGCCCUGACUGCCAGUUUCUUAAAGGAUAUGCUGAUCUGGAUUUGUUUUCUAUGGUUUGAACUUUUGAGGCACCCUUAGACAGUGCCAGUCAUUGACCAUGCUAAGUGCACAUAUGCUUAAUAUUUUCCUUGCAUGCCUAAUGAUAAAUAUACAAUCAGAAUGGUUAAAAAGGCAACUCUAUGUCUAUUUUACUACAUUAAUAUGAGGGGGUACAUAAAGAAGAACAUGAACUUAUAAAUUGCAAAAGUUGUGGUGUUAUAAUUGUACACAAAAUAAUAAAUAAUAUUUUAUCAGUACAAGAAAAAUAACCAGGAGCUAAAUGUUUCCUAAAAUCUAAAAAGGAAAUGUAAUAAUGAGAAUAUUUAUAUAGGACUAAGUAAAAAGCCAGGACAUAGUCUUUGACUUGUUCACUGGCAUCUUCUCAGCACUUAACAUAAUAUAUGAUGCACAGUCUGUAGUCAAGAAAUAUUUUUGAAUGGGUGGUAAGAUUCUUUCCACUCUGGAAAGUUCGACCUGUUUGCUUCCUCUGGUGAAUUGCGUAGCAUAAUCUUAGAACAUAAGGGAAUUAAACUAGUGCAAUAUAAAACUCUUGGUUAAUAGCAGAUGAAAAUUAGGUCAGCUGUGGCAUGUAACAGACAUAUCUAGGCCUUUAAAAGUUAUAAACAUUUAAAAAAUAAUUUAUAUACUUCCAUUUCCCUACAGGGGUGACUCAUGAAAUUGCUAAUUUUUAUACAUUAAAAAUGGAUGGCUUCAUAAGGUUAGAUCUUAGCAUAUAAAUUCUUAGCUAGUGCUGACCUCCAGUUUCAAGUGAUGGAAACAUUGAAACUCGGAGAAAAUGUGCUUUGGUGUUCAUUAAGAGGGCUCUUCUUUGCUUCUAAAUGCCAGAGAACUAAAGUGAUCUCAGAAAUCAGAACAAAUAUUACAGCACCUUCAUUAAAACACAGGAAGCUGACACAUUUACUACUGGCUUUUAUGGUUAAUCACAAAUCUCCUACCAGAGGCUGUGGAAUGACCAUCUGAAUAUAUUGUAAGAAGACUUAAUGGCCUUAAAUAUUGAUUACCUUAACACACAGCGGUCUCUUCCAUUUCUGACAUUGAAACAGCACUCCCAAUUACUGUGGUUAAAAAUAUAAUAAUAAAAUAGAUCUAUAAUUUGUUUAAAAUAUAUCACUUACUACUUGAAUAAUUUUAAAUGCCUAGAUGACUAUAAUCACUUGAAUAGGUCCAAGAGCCAUCUCAGAGACCAUGGACAAAGUCCAACAUAGAAAGUGAGAGUCGGCUUCUGUAACCAACCCCAUCUUUAGCUGCCUAUGAUACAGCCACAAAAGUGACCUCAGGGGCAGGGAAAACCAAAACUAACCAAAUAACCUUCAAAGCUGAAAGCAUAUAGGGGAGAACCAGAGAAUUACAGACGGUUAGAACUUAUCUAGUGUUCUCCUGAGGAACAGAGCUGAUAGGAAGACUAGAAUUAAAGGGGGAUUUAUUAGCUCGCUUACAGGAUGUAGUCUGGCUAGUCCAACCAUGGAGUAGCUAGACUCACCCCUGAGAGACCAAGAAUCUGCAAGUUUCUCAGUCCAUGAGGCUGGAUGUCUUGGCAGUCUCAAUCUGGUGCUGAAGACUGGAAUUUUCUUGGAAGCUGCUGGCCUUCAGCCUAAAUUGGGAGACCAGGGAAUCUGGUCCCGCUAUGGCUGAAGAUAUGCAACAGUGCUAGCAACAGAACAGAUGAGCUUGCCAGUGAGAGUGAAGAAGUCAAAUACUUGUCUUUUAGAUGAUUCCAGAUCCGGUCAAGUUGAGAUCCGAGAUGUAGCCAUCAUACUUCUCUACUUGCUUAUUAGUAGUGUUCUCACUUCUUCCCCCCCUCCCCCAAUCUCUGCUUAUCAGGGGAGGAUUGAAGCUGAGAUUACAGGGCAGUUGUGGUGGUAUUUUGUUCCCCAAAAUAUUGUGCACCCUAAUGAACUUAUCUAGGGUCAGAGAACAGAACAGCCACUAGAUACAGAGGCCAGAA